rnacentral:rRNA from 1 species
CCUACGGGAGGUGCAGUGGGGAAUAUUGCACAAUGGGCGCAAGCCUGAUGCAGCCAUGUCGCGUGUGUGCAGAAGGCCUUCGGGUUGUAAAGCACUUUCAGCGGGGAGGAAGGCGGUGAGGUUAAUAACCUCAUCGAUUGGCGUUACCCGCAGAAGAAGCACCGGCUAACUCCGUGCCAGCAGCCGCGGUAAUACGGAGGGUGCAAGCGUUAAUCGGAAUUACUGGGCGUAAAGCGCACGCAGGCGGUCUGUCAAGUCGGAUGUGAAAUCCCCGGGCUCAACCUGGGAACUGCAUUCGAAACUGGCAGGCUAGAGUCUUGUAGAGGGGGGUAGAAUUCCAGGUGUAGCGGUGAAAUGCGUAGAGAUCUGGAGGAAUACCGGUGGCGAAGGCGGCCCCCUGGACAAAGACUGACGCUCAGGUGCGAAAGCGUGGGGAGCAAACAGGAUUAGAUACCCGGGUAGUC